AAGCCGCUUAUAAAUUACCGCUUCCUUCGCGCCGCCGCCAACGCCGAGCCCCGAGGACCGCAAGCCCAGAGGACAAGCUGCGCCGAGAGGGAGUGCGGAGCGUUUACCCCGCGGGUCAGAGAGCGAGCGGGCAGGCAGCCCCCGGCCGGCGGAACCCGGCACAGCCGAGCAGAGCGCGGGCGGCGCCGCAGCCACCCCAGAUCAAGAACCAGAACCACAGCCCUUCUGAGGAGCUCCCAAAUGUGCGUUUCUCAUACCAUAUUUUAUUUUCCUGUUUGGGAGCGGCCUGCCUGUGUUUUUCUUGGAGAUCAUCAUAGGCCAGUACACCUCUGAAGGGGGCAUCACCUGCUGGGAAAAGAUCUGCCCCUUGUUCUCUGGUAUCGGCUAUGCCUCCAUUGUAAUUGUGUCCCUCCUGAAUGUCUACUACAUCGUCAUCCUGGCCUGGGCCACAUACUACCUGUUCCAGUCCUUCCAGAAGGAGCUGCCCUGGGCACACUGCAACCACAGCUGGAACACACCUCACUGCAUGGAGGACACCAUGCGCAAGAACAAGAGUGUCUGGAUCACCAUCAGCUCCACCAACUUCACCUCCCCUGUCAUCGAGUUCUGGGAGCGCAACGUGCUGAGCUUGUCCCCUGGAAUCGACCACCCAGGCUCUCUGAAAUGGGACCUUGCUCUCUGCCUUCUUU
rnacentral:sRNA from 1 species